UCAAUCAGACGAAGAUAUAAUACUUAUUAGGGCAGGGGAAUACGCAUAUAGACUUCCUGUAAGAGAGCCUGGAAAAAAUCAAGAUUUUUUGCGAUGUAUAUAUUUUAAAUUAGCUUCUUGAAGAUUUGAGACUCUUUUCUUUGAUUCGUAGGUUGACAAACUUCAUGAAUAAUUUACGAGGGAAACGAAAUUCAGUUGAUGAAAUUAAACAUGAAAAGCUUUAAAUAGGAAGGGGUGAGUACUGACAUUGACUUUUGUGACAAAUUUUUCGUCGUAUAUUGUUAUUUAACUUUGAGGCCGCAUGUUUUGAUGAAUUUUCCUCUGAAAAGUUUGUAUAUAUAUAUAUCUCUCUAAAAGUAUAUCACCUUUACAGUUGAAAAAUUCAUUUUUAUUUUAGCUUCCUAUAUUUUAAAGGCAUAUAAAAUGAGUAGAUUUGUAAUAUUUCAGGUGAAUUGGCGAAGUUAAGUGGCAUCUUUGAAAAAAAAAAUUGAAUAAAACUUUGCUCGAAGUAACCUUAGAGAAAAAUGUAUCAAUAAAUCUCAUUUAGCCUUCUAAAAUCUCCGGUUUUCGUACCAUGAGCUUUCGUGUAGUUUUUUAAUGUGCAGAAAUCACAAAAAUGUCACCUAACUUCCUCAUCGAUAGCUUUUAAUUUUACUUGGAGACAUUGAAAUAUUAUUUUCCUUUUGUCCAUAAGCAUUGUUUGGACAGUAUCAUGUAUAUACUAUCGAUCUAUUUUUCAUCAAAUCUUCGUUUAAUUUUUUACAGGUAUCAUGACAAUGUUUUGCCUCCUAAAAGCAUGCUGAGGACUUCCAUUAUACAAACACCAAAUGUCCAAAGAUGUUAGUUGAUGAACCUGAACGUGGUGCAGACAUGAGAAAGGCUACAGUUGAAUGUGUCACAUUUUGAGGCGCUGUUCCUACACUUGAGGAAUUUGCUCAAAGUGAAAAUAUCGAGGGCCAAGUGCAUUGAUGCCGGCCGCUUGAGGUCUCUUAAUCUCUCAACGAGUAUGAAAUGACUCAAAACACCUGGCACGUCAAACUUCGUCCAUAAUGUGUUGACUUUAAUGGCCCGUCCAUUCAUUUUUUCCACUUAAAGAUUCGGUUUUGAAAGCCAAAAAUGGUGGAAACACCCCCCCCCCCCCGUUAUUUUUAACCUUGAGUUUGACCGGGGCUCGUCCAGCAAAAUAAUCUGGAUUGCAACGUUUUUCAUUAAAAUAGAUGUACUUUUACGAUACUUAGACUACUGUGGAUUAAACGUCGCGAUGUUUACCCUCCAAGUUUCCUCGGUACGUCAAAUGUGCGAAGCAAAGACUUUAAUAAUGUGAAUCCGAUUUAAAGGAUAGACUAACACAGGUGAGGGUCAUCUAACUAAAUGGACGUAUUCAAAUCAAAAGAAACUGCACUCUCUUCCUGACAUGAGACUCAUAAAAAUAUAUGCAUGGCAGGGCUCAUGUCGCAGUGGACAUACUUCCUUUUGAUUUAAAUGCAUGAAAAUGAUGAGAUAAAGUGCAUCAUUUUUGCGACAUUGAAAAUGUCCAUCAUACCUAUUUUUUAACUGUAAAGUGGUGGAGUUUACGGUGAUAUAUCUCUUCUCCAUAAAAAUAUUACGAAGAUACCAUCAACCAAUAAAGUUUGU
rnacentral:lncRNA from 1 species